rnacentral:rRNA from 1 species
UAAGCGGAGGAAAAGAAACUAACAAGGAUUCCCCUAGUAACGGCGAGUGAAGCGGGAAGAGCUCAAAUUUGAAAUCUGGUAGCCUUCGGUUGCCCGAGUUGUAAUCUAGAGAAGUGUUUUCCGUGCCGGCCCAUGUACAAGUCCCUUGGAACAGGGCGUCAUAGAGGGUGAGAAUCCCGUCCUUGACAUGGACCCCCGGUGCUCUGUGAUACACUUUCAACGAGUCGAGUUGUUUGGGAAUGCAGCUCAAAAUGGGUGGUGAAUUCCAUCUAAAGCUAAAUAUUGGCGAGAGACCGAUAGCGAACAAGUACCGUGAGGGAAAGAUGAAAAGCACUUUGGAAAGAGAGUUAAACAGUACGUGAAAUUGUUGAAAGGGAAACGAUUGAAGUCAGUCAUGCUCUUUGGUAUUUAUAUCAUUGAGUGGGGUCAACAUCAGUUUUGAUCGAUGGAUAAAGGCACUAGGAAGGUAGCACUCUCGGGUGAACUUAUAGCCUAGCGUCAUAUACAUUGAUUGGGACUGAGGAACGCAGCAUGCCUUUAUGGCCGGGAUUCGUCCACGUACAUGCUAGG